rnacentral:rRNA from 1 species
AUUGAACGCUGGCGGCAGGCCUAACACAUGCGAGUCGAGCGGAUGAAGGGAGCUUGCUCCUGGAUUCAGCGGCGGACGGGUGAGUAAUGCCUAGGAAUCUGCCUGGUAGUGGGGGAUAACGUCCGGAAACGGGCGCUAAUACCGCAUACGUCCUGAGGGAGAAAGUGGGGGAUCUUCGGACCUCACGCUAUCAGAUGAGCCUAGGUCGGAUUAGCUAGUUGGUGGGGUAAAGGCCUACCAAGGCGACGACCCGUAACUGGUCUGAGAGGAUGAUCAGUCACACUGGAACUGAGACACGGUCCAGACUCCUACGGGAGGCAGCAGUGGGGAAUAUUGGACAAUGGGCGAAAGCCUGAUCCAGCCAUGCCGCGUGUGUGAAGAAGGUCUUCGGAUUGUAAAGCACUUUAAGUUGGGAGGAAGGGCAGUAAGUUAAUACCUUGCUGUUUUGACGUUACCAACAGAAUAAGCACCGGCUAACUUCGUG